rnacentral:rRNA from 1 species
GACGAACGCUGGCGGCGUGCUUAACACAUGCAAGUCGAACGAAAAGAGGGAAAGAGCUUGCUCUUUCCGGAAUUGAGUCGCAAACGGGUGAGUAACACGUAAACCACCUGCCUUCAGGAUGGGGACAACAGACGGAAACGACUGCCAAUACCGAAUAAGUUCCAAGGGCCGCAUGGCCCAUGGAAGAAAAGGUGGCCUCUACCUGUAAGCUAUCGCCUGAUGAGGGGUUUGCGUCUGAUUAGCUGGUUGGUGGGGUAACGGCCCACCAAGGCGACGAACAGUAGCCGGUCGGAGAUGAUGAGUGGCCGGACUGGAAGGGAGACCGGGUCCAGACUUCUACAGGAGGCAGCAGGGAGGGAUCUGGCGCCAUGAGUGAAGGCUGGACGGAGCAACGCGGAGGGGGGGAUGACGGCCUUCGGGUGGGAAAUGUCGGUGUUCCGGGACGAAACGGCAGAGUGCGGAGAACAAACUGCAUUGACGGUACCGGAAAAGCAAGCCACGGCUAACUACGUG